GACGAACGCUGGCGGCGUGCUUAACACAUGCAAGUCGAACGGAAAGGCCCUGCUUUUGUGGGGUGCUCGAGUGGCGAACGGGUGAGUAACACGUGAGUAACCUGCCCUUGACUUUGGGAUAACUUCAGGAAACUGGGGCUAAUACCGGAUAGGAGCUCCUGCUGCAUGGUGGGGGUUGGAAAGUUUCGGCGGUUGGGGAUGGACUCGCGGCUUAUCAGCUUGUUGGUGGGGUAGUGGCUUACCAAGGCUUUGACGGGUAGCCGGCCUGAGAGGGUGACCGGCCACAUUGGGACUGAGAUACGGCCCAGACUCCUACGGGAGGCAACAGUGGGGAAUAUUGCACAAUGGGCGGAAGCCUGAUGCAGCAACGCCGCGUGCGGGAUGACGGCCUUCGGGUUGUAAACCGCUUUCGCCUGUGACGAAGCGUGAGUGACGGUAAUGGGUAAAGAAGCACCGGCUAACUAUGU
rnacentral:rRNA from 1 species